ACGCCAGCCAGACUUAUUUAUGCAAAUGUUUUCUCCCUACCACUGUGCUCAUUGAGAAGGACUGCUGACCCAGGUGUUUUGUAGCUUUUAAAAUAAUUGUUCAAUAUGAUAUUAGGUUGUAGAAUGUGGUCACAAAUUUCUCAAGUCUAGAGAAGUCCAUUCCAGAAGUCUAGCAGGUCUAUUCCACUGACUCUCAACUUUAUUAUGCUUAUGCUUGACUCUUAUGUCUUUCCUAUUUAACUUAUUUUAUAAAAUGUAGAACAUAUGUUUUGAAAGUCAAACCAUACCAAAGUCAAACCUGGUGGGAGUGCUACAACUGUAAAAAGGUGGAAACACUCAGUAAGCAGUCAAAGUUUGGCAUGGAAAUAGACACGGCUGCAAUAAGGUAGUGGACUUAUGGGCUAAGUUUCCUUGCUUUCAUACUUGCAUGUAGUGUAGCUAGUUUCCCAAAACACAUAAAAGGAAGUCAUUUCUCUGUGAAGUGGUCUUUAGAGGAGGGUUUUUCUACUUCAGCAUUAUUAUUUGAGACUGGAUAAUUCUUUGCUGUGUGUGUGGAUGGGGGUGGGAGGGUUGCUGUGCUGUGCGUUAUGAGAUGUUUAGCAGCAUUGCAUCCGUGGUCUUUGUCCAUUAGAUGCUGUUGACAUCCUUCUUCCCAAUUGUGGCCACCAAAAGUGUUUCUAGACAUACCCAAAUGUCCACUGGGGGAACAAAACCCUCGUUCCUCACCAUUUUCCCUCCUCUGUGGUUGAGAAUGACUUCUCUAGAUUACCAUUUCAAGAUUUAGCUUAAGUUUCUGACAGUGGUGUUACAGAAGGCCAUUUUCAUCAUUGUCAUUUAUUAUUUCAUGUUAGUUUAGUGGUUUACUACAAGUAGCCUAGGGUCAAGGAAAUAUAUCCAGUUCAUUUAAUAGUAUUCUUAAUCAACUAUGUUCCUAAGUUCUUAUGUUUCUUUUAAUCUAUGAACCUAUGUUCCUACUGUUGCCUGAAAGAUUCACAAGAGGAAAAAUGUACUGAGUAUAGACAAUAAAAAAUUUAAUGUGGCCAAAUAUAGCAUAUAUUUAACAUUGUAAAGCAUAUCUCAAAUAUUUGCAGCAUUUCAUGGCAACAAAAGCUGCUAUAGAAUAAGUGGGUCAGAAUUACCAUCAGGGAAGUAGUACCCAAAAUAUCUUCCGACUAUUAUAGGCCAGGCCAAAGCAAAAAACAGCUCAAUUAGAUUUGGGAGGCAUUCCUUCCAGGCUGCUAAAGUAUCACCAGUCAAACAGCAUUCACAAGAAACACAGGUCUGAGAUAACCAAGUUAGUGCUCUAAUAAGACUUCAAAUGCUCUGAGAACAAGCUUCACUGUAUUUUUGCUCACAGAAGUUUCACAUCUAUCCUUGCUCAGGCCUAGGAUUUUAGUCGGCUAGCAGCAAAAGAAGAUGAACUUGAAAUUUCACUUCAAGAAGUAUUAGGCUUUAUGGAAUAUAAAAGUAAUUCAGAAGCAUAGAAAACCAUGAAUAAUAAACAAACUCUGAUAGAAAAUAAAUAAAGGAACUCAAGGAAUUGCCUUCCAAUAUCCUUGGCAACCAGAGAAGCAAUCAAUGAGUUUUAAAACUCCCAUAUACAUAUUUGGUGCUCACAAAUACCUGAAUAAUAAAGACGAUUAUCAUGCAGAGUGACAAAGUACAGAUAAACACACUCCAGCUUUGCAAGUACAAAACCAGUUAAAACCAGUUAUUCUACUCCUGACGUUUAACAAGUAGAGCUUUACACAUAUACUAAAAGCCACAGUGAACUGGGUGAAAGUUUGUUGGGCCUGGGGAGUGGGAAACUGGCUUAGUAACACCAGAGUCAUCUCAGUGUGUGACCCCUGGCAAACCAUGCUCCUGAGAAGACAGCAGAAGGAAAAGGUUGCUUUACCAAAGGUUAGAAAUACAGGAAUAUAGAGUGCGUGAAUGCAAGCUAUGUGACUUAUGUAGGCUUUUACAUACCAAAGCUGCUUCCAAAGUCAGUAGGAGAGGCUGGUCCCAUCAGCUGGAUAAGCACAGCAAAAAUUAAGAUGGUUUGAUAUCCACAUCUCCAGUUGCUUAAGUUGUUUACUCUGUUCCCUCUGAAUCACAUCACAUCUUAUUUUCAACUGAAACAUGGAAACCUUUCUGGCCUAAUACUUCUUUUCCAAAUAAUAUUUAUUUUCAUGUGGCAUUAAUCUUUUUUUACUAAUUAUUCUUGGGUGCAGCAUAUUUUGUAACCACCUAAGCACACACUGAUCCAAAGCUGAAUAUUAUAAAUAGUUAUAAUCACAUUCAUCAAAAAGUUCAAAGUGAGAGUGGGCUAAAAAAUAAGUAGGAGUCAGAAAGAGAGAGUAGGAGAUUGGGUAAAAUGAUAAAAUAAUGAGAAAAAGAAAUAAUUUCUAUGUAUCAGGUAGGAGAGAGAAGCUAUUUCCUAGGGCUUUGGGGGAAAUGAAUUUCCCACACCAAAGGUGGAGUAGAUUGAAAAACCGAUAGAUUGCUCUUCACUCCUUCACUGAGGUUCUGAAACUGUAGGCAUUGAAUGCUGCAUUAAAGAUACAUGUGCAUCUUAUUCCUCAUAAGUAAAUUACAUUGUUUUAUUACUAUGCUGUGUGGCCCAAAAGGCAAGCAAUAAUUUUUAGUGGCUGAGAAGAAACUAGUUUCACAAACAAGGGGCACUUUGAAAAAACAAAUGUACUCAAAAAGACAAUGUUGCUCUGGGCUUUAUUUAGAAUUAAAUUCCAGAACUCACUCAAAACUGCAGAACCAGUACUCAAAUUUGGUACCCCUUUUGCUCAUCCUUCCUAAAGUCACCCUUCACACACAAAUCUUUCCACCCUCCUCUCCAGGCAUUUUAAAUAGCUGCAGGAUUAGAAAUUGCAAAACAGAUGCCUCCGGCCAAAAGCACCAAGUUUUGCUGAUAAAUUUUCCUGAAAUCACACAAAUGGAAAAAACGGAAGUCAGAAGUGUACAUUUUAUAUUCAGCAGCUAAAGUCUGAAAUCUCAGGUUAUAAGUAAAUUAUUUUGUGAUUAAAUCCUAAUCUCAUCAAUUUAAAGAACCAAAAACCCAGCUCAAUAAUCCACCACAAUCUUACCUUGAAAAUGUGGUUCUCUUAUUUGAAUGUCUUCUUCCAGUACUAAUUCGAUUUCUUUUCCUGAAAAUUCUGCCACAUGGUGCUACUUUCGGACAUUUAAUAUAUUUCAUUUAUAAUUACUCUCACGUGUAAAUGGUAUCUUUAAAUAAUAUGUGCAGGAGUUCUUAAUAAGUUUUCACAACUCUCCUUAUAAAGCAAAGCUAUUCAUUUUUAGAGAGUUUGAACGUUUUGGUGUUAAUUUGAUAAAUAACAGCUAUUGGACAACUGAAGAGAAUAACCACUCACAGGCAAUCUUCUCUUUGUACUUGAUUUUAAAAUAUUAAUAUUUCAUUCAUGGUGUCUUCUCAAAUUAAAUUUCUCAGGGUUACUGGACCUCAGAUACUAAAAGGACAAAGAAAAGGGACAGAUGAGAACAGCUACGAAGCGAUAGUGAAAACAUAUGGUGUCCAUCUUGUAAGCAUAAGGCUCCCUGGUAUUGCUGCCACUCUCCCUGUGCUCGGGAAAGCUGGAAGAAGCCAGUAGGCAAUCUGGUGUCUCGUCAGAAGAGUGCCAGAAACAGGUGUUGCUGACCUAACCCUUUCCUCCUACCACAGAUUCUCUUGGUAAAUCCUACACUCGUUACCAUAGCAUUGCUUUCAAACACACUUAUCAGAUGAAAACCAAGUGUUCCAAAAUAACAGUUUAUAUGGAGUCAAAAUGCUGAAAAUUGCUGUGAUUGGUUUUUUCUUUCUCUUUUUUUUUUUCAGUUUUUAGAAUCGGGUAAUUUUAAAAUUACAAUAAAAUGCACACAUUUUAAGUGUUCCCUGCGUGAGUGUUGAUGGUUGUAUACACCGAUGUAGCACCACCCAAAACAAGAUACAAAACGUUUCAAUCACUCCAGAAGUUUUCCUCCUUCUCCUUUUCAGUCAAACCACACUGUACUGAUUUCCAUUGCCAUAGACAAUUUUGCCUGUCUUUGAACAUAAUAUACUGUAUAUAUUCUUUACAUCUGGCUUUUUUUUGCCAAUAUAUAUUUUUAAGACUCAUUCUUACUGUUGCAUGUUAUCACUAGCUCAUUCCUUUUCAUUACAGAGUAAUAUUUAACUGUAUAAAUAUACCACAAUUUGCUUACUCAUUUUCUAGGAAAUGGAUAUUUAAGUGUUUCCAGAUGUUCUUGGAACAGUCUCAUAUAAGACUUUGUGUAGACGUAUGUGAUCAUAUCACCUGGAUAAAUACCUAGGAGUGGAAUUCCUGAGACACAAUAUGUUUAACUUUUAAGAAUGUGGCAAACCUUUCCCCACAAUCGUUGUAAUAUUUUACUCUACUGACUUGUUAGUAUUUAUCUUUCUCCAUAUCCUCAUCAAUAUUUGGUGCUGUCAGUCUUAGCCAUUCCAGUGAGUGUGAAAUGCUAACUCAUUAUGAUUCUAAAUUGCAUCUCUCUGACGACUUAUGAUGUUGAAUAGCUUUUCAGGUGUUCAUUAGCCUCAUCCUAUGUAGGACAUCUUAUUCCCAAAUUUUCUUUUGCUAAGUGUCUUUCCAGACUUUGGCCCAUUUUUUACUGAGCUGUUUAUCUUUUUAUUGUUGACUCGUAAAAGUUAUUUAUAUAUUCUGGAUAUGACCUAUUCAUGAAAAAUAAGUGAUGAGAAUUUUCAAAGUCUGUCGAUUGCCUGUUCACUUUCUUUUAAUGAGCAGAAAUUAAAUUUUAUUGAAAAUCUUUAUGAUCUAUUUCUACGUAAUUUUUGUGUUUUGGGUGAGGUAAGAUCAGAGAUCAUUUUUUGUUUUCUAAUGGAUAGCCAAUCUUUCUUGCAUCAUUUGUUUUUUUUUUGUUUGAUUGUU
rnacentral:lncRNA from 1 species